rnacentral:rRNA from 1 species
GAAAUUUAACGGAUUUGGCGGCAAGAUAGCCCCUUAGAGGAACCUGCCCUGUAAACGAUGAACCACGAGGGACUCUACUUUCUUUGGUAGUCAGUUUGUAUAUCGCUGUUGUCAGUUAGAUUCUUGAGAAUAUUUUCGUUUAUGAAAAGUUCAUUGACUUCAAGUAAAGGUGCAGCUUAUAAGGAAGAUAGAGGUGGGUUACAUUUAUGAGAAUAAAACGGAAAGGAUGAAUGAAAUAAUCCUUGAAGGUGGAUUUAACUGUAAAACUUAAGUAGGUUUGGUGAGAGCUCUAUCUUGUGUACACACCGCCCGUC